UACUCCUAAACUCAGAUGUCUCAAAGUCUAGAUAGCAAAAGGCUACUGAACAUUGCUCAAAAACACAGGUCUGGGGUUUGCCCUAACAGCUGAGUUUCACACACAAGAAGCUAAAUCACUUAUUUGUAUUUUCCAGCAUAAAUACAAUAAGUCACAAUAAUAUAACACUACAUGUCUGAAUUAAACUGACUAAGGCAUGAGCACUGCAACAUAAGAUGCCCACUCCACUGUGAAUUCAACUUCUACCCAUACAUAUUGCAGCUAAGAAUGGAUCAGUACCAGGAUACCUGACCCAGGUGGCUAAUGAAGUGUAAUCUAUCUGACCCAUCUGGCACCUGAGACAGCCUCUGCUCUUACAUAAUUUAUAUUUCAGGCCAAUGUACUAAUUUGAAUCCUAACCCUCAUCAUAGAGGAUCAUCUAAUACUGAAUUCUUCCAACACAUCACAAUUAUAGAACUACCUGUGCCAAAGAACUUCUCCUUCCUGAGCUAAUGCGCAAACCUUCAGUACUCAGUACCUUCAGUACCUCAGUUAAUAUACUUAAUAAUUAUAUUAAUUGGUUUUUGACACAAAGAAAUCCACUGUUAGCAUAUGGUGGCUGAAUGAUAAAGUACAGAAAGGCAGGUAGGCUGAAACAGCACCAAAUUAUUGCCCUUGGAAAAUUUUUCCUCUUUUCCACUUAUAUCAUAUCCAUAUUUGCAUUUAGGCAGCCUGGAACAGAUCCUGCAGAUUUUGUACAUGUGAUCUGCUCUACAAGUCAAGAGCAUGUAAGAAUAAACAGUUUGCUUAGUUAGAAUUUGCAAGCCUAAACUUUGAAAAUCAAAGAUCAUAAAAUCAUUCAGGUUGGAAAGGACCUGGCAAGGUCACUUAGUCUAAAUUCCUGUGUAAAGCUGUCCCAAAACUGAAUUUAGAGUAAGUAGCUAAGAAUUCAGCUGUAAGCAGGAAUUGAGGUUUGAAUAUCUCUUUCUUUGGAGGAUUCCUAAACCUCUCUGGUAAACUACUUUCAUAGCAUAAAAAAAGAAAAUCUCUUGCAUCCAGCCAGAACCUUCCCUCGGCCAAAUUAUGACUGUUGCCUCUCGCACUCCUUCUACACACCUCAGUAAAGAGCGUAGCUGUAUCUUUUCUGUAACUUCAUUGUAGGUAUUGCCAGGCUGUUAGGUUCCCUUGGAGCCAUCUCUUCUAUGGGGUGAACAAACCCUAUCCCUCUGCUUCUCCUCACAGGCCUAGUGCUCCAGCCCCUGAUAUCUUGUCUCCACUGAACUUGAUUCAGUAUGUCAAUGUCUUGUACUGGUGCGUCCAAAACUGGAGAUGGCCUAGCAGACGUUGAUUAAACGUUGAUUAAAGGGGAUCAUCACUUCCCUUGAUCUACUGGCUAUGCUCCUGGUGAUACGACCCUUUCAUUCUGUUAGUUCUCAUCACUGCCAGGACACGCUGAUGACACGAUAGGUGUAGUUGUUGUCCAACAAGCCCCCCACGUCCCUUCCUGCAGAGCUGCUGUGGAGCAGUCCUCAACCUGUACUGAUCAGGGGUGUAAUUUCUUCCCAGGUGCAGGGCUUUACAUCUGUUCUUGCUGAAAUUAAUUCUCAUUGUCCCAGUUCCUAGUGUCUCCAGGUUGCUAGGUGUGCAAAAUUGAUGAGUGUCUCUUCCCCCGGGUCACUGAUAAAGAUAUGAAACAGGAGACGUCACAGUAUAGAUUGCAGAGGAACUACACUUUCCAAGUAGAGUAGUAACCAUAAGCCAUAACCUUUUGAGCUGGAUGAUGCAACCAGUUUUUCACCCUAGUAGUUCACUCAUCUAAACUGGGAUGUCCCAACAUGGAUACAAGGGAAGCUGUGUUGAAACUCUUGCUAACAUCGUUGUAGAUGACACUCAUUACUGCCCCCCCCAUCCCCCUACAGAUUGACUCAUUUCAUCAUAGAUAUCAAUCAGCAGGUUCACGACCUCUACAGAACUGCAGCAGCUCCCUCUGUUCUGAAAACCGCAUGGGGGAAGAUGGUGACUUCUUGGGGGACUAACAAAAACAUUUGCAUUUUUAGAAGCUUGUGAUUUCACUGGAGCCUUGCAUGUUUCUAUGUAGUACUCGCAGCAAGUCAGUACAGCAUGAUGUCCAUGGGUGCCAGUACAAGUACUCUCAGCUGAAAAGACUGUUAUUUGGAUCACGAGCACUGUGAAGGGGAGGAGGAAGGCUACCCAAAGGGACCCGAGAGCUCUCAAAUCACAGAACUGGUCAGUCAAGCAAGCAUUUGAGGCAGACAAAUACAGCUUGUUUCAUUUAUUGCAUACCAAUAAUCUUCUUUUGAAUUUAGCUUUUCCUCUGCUUAUAACCCUUCUGUAAACUGAUCCUAAAUUGUGGGUGUGUUUUCAGUAUUCAAGAGUAAUGUUGAGCAGUAGAAAUAAACAGUCUUCCUCUUGUGUGUCACCCAUAAAUUCCUGAAUUUCAUUAUUUGUUCAUUAUUCUGUCUGGGAGCCAUGUAAAAAUCUUUGCUUUUAGUAAGGGAGCUAAAAUAUUUCACACAGAAUACUGAGUCAGAGGACAUGAUCAACAGUGUGCAACAAAUAGUUCCAUUUGCACAAAUACCUGUAUUUUUACUGAGAAAACCCAUUUUACAAAUAGGAAUAAGGACAAAAAACCUCUAUAGCUAAUAGCAAUAAGAAAGCUGCUAAUGUGGUUUGGCUGGAAAAUGUUCUGCAUUCAAAUGGAUGUUUAUGUUCACAAAUGUAUUGUUGUGUGAUUAAUGUAUAAGAUCCUAUGGGCAGAAUAAGUCAUAUUUGAAAUAAUCUGAAUGGAUUCAGUUUAAAGUCAUUUGCCAAUAACUUGUAAUCAGCAUAUAGUCUUUAACGAUGAUAUUGCUGAACUUUGCCCAUAAACCAAUAAGCAGUUUAAGACCUACUUAUAUUUCAUAAAUUAAACAUUAUCUGGAUAAAUACAUGUCAGUGCAGAAGCAUUUGUGCCUCGUAUCUUUUCCUUGGUUUAAAUGGAUUCAUCCAAUAUCAGCUAGGUAGUGAACUUUGAAGCAGAGUCCACUGUAAUAAUAGUAAAGUUUAAUGAUGCAUAGCUUUGUGAGACUGACAAAUUCCCAGCCAAAGUAUUGAUUCCUGGAGAAUUUAUGAAGCACAGGCUCUAUUCUAUGUCAUUAUGGUCCAUUUUUGGCUGAAAGAAUCAUGUAAAAUAGAUUUUUAAAUGAGUGGUAAUAGCCAGACAUAAAGAAGGUAUUGAUGUGUGUCAUGAAGGGUGAAAUAGCAUGCCAGGUAAAGGCAUAUAACAAAUUGAAAACAACAGUGCUGAAACUCCUACAAAUGUAAAUUUGUUUUUAGUUUUAAUCAAACCUU